GACUCAUAAAGAGAAGCAGAGGGGGCUGGAAGGAUUUCAUUUCUACAACAAAAUCCCUCUGGGGAAGGUUGCUGCAUUUGGCAGCAGGCAAAGGGCUUCUUGAAGGAAGGAUUUCUGUUCCAGGAGUGAAACAGUUCCCAUGGCAACCAGUCAUCAAGCUCCACUGACCUUUUCUCAGAGACUCUCCACCCUGGAGUCCUUUUGCAUCCUGCAGAAGUGGUAUUUGCAUUUGUGAGCCAGAAAUGCCUGCUCCCUCCUAACCCAGUUAGAGGAUGCUUUCCAAAGGACGCCUUUGGCUGAGGAAAAGAUACACUUUCGAACCUCCGCGCUCCCUAAUCACCUGCUUCCCAAGACAGUUGCUUAGGAUGAAACCACCUGUGAACUAUCUCCUCAUCCGCUCUCCUGAGCCAGAGCAUGCAGAUGCUUUGGACUCUCCUGAGACUAGCCAAAUUCCUAGACAACGGUCUUUGAAGCAUUAUUUUUUUUUCGUGGAGUACCCAUGCCUGAGAACCUAGAAAACAGACAAGAGUAAAGGAAAGAAGAAAUAUAACCAAGCACAAUCUAACAGACACAGGAAGGAACUACUGACAUGUUAGUGUGUUUUCUUCCAAUCUAUUCUUGGGGUUAGAGCUAACUUUAGAGCUGGGAUUGGGACUAGCAUUAGGGUUUCAGGUCUCUUUCUGAUAUACAACUAAUAUUUUACCUUGGAAGUAGUCUGUUAGGACAACUAGA